AUUGAACGCUGGCGGCAUGCCUUACACAUGCAAGUCGAACGGCAGCACGGGAGCAAUCCUGGUGGCGAGUGGCGAACGGGUGAGUAAUAUAUCGGAACGUGCCCGGUCGUGGGGAUAACGUAGCGAAAGCUACGCUAAUACCGCAUACGAUCUACGGAUGAAAGCGGGGGGAUCGCAAGACCUCGCGCGAUUGGAGCGGCCGAUAUCAGAUUAGGUAGUUGGUGAGGUAAAGGCUCACCAAGCCGACGAUCUGUAGCUGGUCUGAGAGGACGACCAGCCACACUGGGACUGAGACACGGCCCAGACUCCUACGGGAGGCAGCAGUGGGGAAUUUUGGGACAAUGGGCGCAAGCCUGAUCCAGCAAUGCCGCGUGCAGGAUGAAGGCCUU
rnacentral:rRNA from 1 species